rnacentral:rRNA from 1 species
UCCGUAGGUGAACCUGCGGAGGGAUCAUUACUGAGUGAGGGCUCACGCCCGACCUCCAACCCUUUGUGAACGUAACUUGUUGCUUCGGGGGCGACCCUGCCGUCAUCUGACGACGGGCGCCCCCGGAGGCCUUCAAACACUGCAUCUUUGCGUCGGAGUAAAAGUUAAUUAAACAAAACUUUCAACAACGGAUCUCUUGGUUCUGGCAUCGAUGAAGAACGCAGCGAAAUGCGAUAAGUAAUGUGAAUUGCAGAAUUCAGUGAAUCAUCGAAUCUUUGAACGCACAUUGCGCCCUUUGGUAUUCCGAAGGGCAUGCCUGUUCGAGCGUCAUUUCACCACUCAAGCCUAGCUUGGUAUUGGGCGCCGCGGUUUUCCGCGCGCCUCAAAGUUUCCGGCUGAGCUGUCCGUCUCUAAGCGUUGUGAUACAUAUUCGCUUCGGAGUGCGGGCGGCCGCGGCCGUUAAAUCUUUCACAAGGUUGACCUCGGAUCAGGUAGGGAUACCCGCUGAACUUAAGCAUAUCAAUAAGCGGAGGA